UUGAAAACAAUGUGUUUUGAUACGCCACCUGUAAAUACUGGUAUUUACAAAGGAACUUGUGUUUUAAUCGAAAAAGAACUUGGCAGAAAAUUAGUAUGGCUUCCAUGUCGCCAUCACAUAAUGGAGAUUAUUUUGAGAGGAGUUUUUGAAGUUCUUUGGAAGACGACAUCGGGUCCUUACGUUCCAAUAUUUGUUAAAUUAAAAAAAUUCUGGGACAAAGUUGAUCAAUCCAAUUAUAAAAGUGGAAUUGAGGAUGAACUGUAGCGAAUACUUUAAUAGAAAAAAAAAGCUGAAAUUGUUACUUUCAUUAACAACUGCCUACAGAUGUCACAACCUCGAGAUGAUUAUCGAGAACUUUUACUCCUAUGUUUAGUGUUCCUUGAUAGUUCUUAUGAGAAAUUAUUUUUUUUUAAACGACCUGGUGCCAUGCACCAUGCGCGAUGGAUGUCUAAGGCUAUUUACAGCUUGAAAAUAUUUUUAUUUCGUGAUCAGUUUAAACUUUCAGAUCAAGAAAAGAAAAAUUUACGCAGAAUUUGUAUUUUUGUAAUUUUAAUUUAUAUCAAAGUAUGGUAUAAUUCAACUUCUGCUAUCCAAGCACCAAACAAUGACUUAGAAUUUAUGAAGAAUUUGAUUCAUUCUAAAAAAAUUAAUUCGCCACUGUUACAACGAGCUUGUCAGAAAAUGAUGGAACACUUGUGGUAUUUAAAUAAAGAAUUUACCACAAUCUCAUUAUUUGACGACAAUGUAUCUGUUGAUGUGAAAAAAAAAUUGUUGCGGCAAUUCAAAAUCGGUAAAGUUCUACACCAAUGCGUCAAAGGUAUGAGAUUAUGGAGCAAGAUCUUGAAUCUUUAUUGGAAAAAGAUUUGAGUGAUUUUGUCUCCAAAAAUUCGCUAGAACUAUUCCAAAAAUUCGAUUUGCCAUGCGAUUUUUUGGAGGAUGAUAUUUCAACAUGGUGCAGAAAUGAUUCAUAUAAGGAAUGUUCAGAAUAUUUCAAUACGUUAAAAGUCACUAAUGAUGUAGCUGAACGAGGUGUUGCUUUGAUUGAGGAAUACAACAAUUACCUCACAAAAGAU